UGAGGAAUAUUGGUCAAUGGGGGCAACCCUGAACCAGCCAAGUCGCGUGAAGGAUGAAGGUCUUAUGGAUUGUAAACUUCUUUUAUACAGGAAUAAAUUGGGGGACGUGUCCCCUUUUGCAUGUACUGUAUGAAUAAGGAUCGGCUAACUCCGUACCAGCAGCCGCGGUAAUACGGAGGAUCCGAGCGUUAUCCGGAUUUAUUGGGUUUAAAGGGUGCGCAGGCGGGAUGUUAAGUCGGCGGUGAAAUUUUGCAGCUCAACUGUAAAAGUGCCUUCGAUACUGGCUUCCUUGAGUGUGGAUGAAGUAGGCGGAAUUUGUGGUGUAGCGGUGAAAUGCUUAGAUAUCACGAGGAACUCCGAUUGCGCAGGCAGCUUACUAAGCCACAACUGACGCUCAUGCACGAAGGCGUGGGGAUCAAACA
rnacentral:rRNA from 1 species